UACGAAGGGGGCUAGCGUUGCUCGGAAUCACUGGGCGUAAAGGGCGCGUAGGCGGGUCUUUAAGUCAGGGGUGAAAUCCUGGAGCUCAACUCCAGAACUGCCUUUGAUACUGAAGAUCUUGAGUUCGGGAGAGGUGAGUGGAACUGCGAGUGUAGAGGUGAAAUUCGUAGAUAUUCGCAAGAGCACCAGUGGCGAAGGCGGCUCACUGGCCCGAUACUGACGCUGAGGCACGAAAGCGUGGGGAGCAAACAGG
rnacentral:rRNA from 1 species